CCGUGAUAACGUAGCAUAAUCAUUCGCCACCUAAUUAGUGGAUAGUAUGAACGGUAAAACGAGUAUAACACUCUCUCAGAAGGAAGUUUUAUGAAAUUGGAAUGGUAGUCAAGAUACUACCUAAAACUGUAAGACGAAAAGACCCUAUAGAGCUUAACUAUACCUUUCUCACAAAGUUAAGUUCACUUAAGUUCAAGAAAGAUUGGUAGUUUAGUUGGGGCGACUGCUUUCUAGUAAAAACGAAAGCAAGCAACAUUAAUUAUCUAAUUUACUGUCUAAUCUAUGUGUUUAACAGUUAUAAAAAUAGGCAAUAGUGACCCGUUAGUAACAAAAAACACCACUAACGAACAAUAAAUAAAAGCUACCUUAGGGAUAACAGGAUAAUCUUGUUCUAGAGACCCUAUCGAAAACAAGGUUUGUCACCUCUAUGUUGAAUUAAGAUAUCCUAGAAGUGUAGAAGCUUCUGAGG
rnacentral:rRNA from 1 species